GUGCACGAUGUCCUCAUGAUUUUGGCUCUAAGAGAACUGAUGGUGUUUUGGAGAGCCUCAAAGUUGAUAAUCAGAGACAGCGUUAAGUUUUGCGGCCGUCUGUAUAAACUAUCAGAAUUUACUUUUUGCAUAUCUCGCAGAGAAUUUUACUAGGCAUUUCUUUGCAUAUAUUCUGAGAGGAGUGUCUCUAAGUUAAUCGUGGUGGAAAACGGAGCAUCGGAGAAGCAAACGGCAUGGUUUUGCAUUGCGGGCAGCAGGGGUGGCACUGCAACGCCCAUAAGGAGCAAUUAUAUCAAAUUUUCACUUCUGUAGCGCCCAGAAUCAAUAAAAUCAAAUUCUCUUGUUCAGGCUGCCAAGUCCAGCUUUUGAACUUUCGACAGAUUCCUUAAUAUGAGCUUGUGAUGUCCUCUUCAAACACUAUGAAGCCAAAUAUUGUCAGAAGUCUAACUUGAAAGCUGAUACGAGCUUGUUGAGCAGAUAGAAGGAAACCAGCUCUUCUUCGGUCGGAUAAAAGCGAAAACCCGGUGG